rnacentral:rRNA from 1 species
AUCGACUCGGUCCCGGGGNUCCAGAGUUUGAUCCUGGCUCAAGACGAACGCUGGCGGCGUGCUUAACACAUGCAAGUCAAGGGGAAAGCGAUCUUCGGAUGGUGAGUAUACUGGCGGACGGGCGAGUAACGCGUAGGCGACCUGCCCUUAUGUUUGGGAUAACCUUGCGAAAGCGGGGCUAAUACCGGAUGUGAUCUUGAUAAUGCCUGUUAUUGGGAUUAAAGUUGCUUGGGGUGACCUGGGUAACGCAUAGGGAUGGGCCUGCGUUCCAUUAGCUAGUUGGUGAGGUAAGGGCUCACCAAGGCGACGAUGGAUAGCUGGUCUGAGAGGACGAUCAGCCACACUGGGACUGAGAUACGGCCCAGACUCCUACGGGAGGCAGCAGUGGGGAAUAUUGCGCAAUGCCCGCAAGGGUGACGCAGCGACGCCGCGUGGGUGAAGAAGCUCUACGGAGUGUAAAGCCCUGUCAGAGGGGAAGAACGGCUUGGAUUCGUAAGGGUUCANGUGUGACGGUACCCUCAGAGGAAGCUCCGGCUAACUCCGUGCCAGCAGCCGCGGUAAUACGGGGGGAGCAAGCGUUGUCCGGAAUCACUGGGCGUAAAGGGCGUGUAGGCGGGCGAUCAAGUCAGAUGUAAAAGGCGACGGCUUAACCGUAGUAUGUCAUCUGAUACUGGUUGUCUUGAGUUCGAGAGAGGGUGGUGGAAUUCCCGGUGUA